UACGGGGGGGGCAAGCGUUGUUCGGAAUUACUGGGCGUAAAGGGCUCGUAGGUGGUCAACUAAGUCAUACGUGAAAUCCCUCGGCUUAACCGGGGAACUGCGCCUGAUACUGGUUGACUUGAGUUUGGGAGAGGGACGCGGAAUUCCAGGUGUAGCGGUGAAAUGCGUAGAUAUCGGGAGGAACACCAGUGGCGAAGGCGACUACCUGGCCUGUUCUUGACGCUGAGGCGCGAAAGCUAGGGGAGCAAACGGG
rnacentral:rRNA from 1 species